AAAAAAAAAAAAAAAAAGUUUAAGAGGUGAAGAAAAAACAACGAAGAAGACGAAGAAGAAGGAGAAAGAUAUUCCCUGACUCGUUGAACUGAGAAAUAAAAAUCGUUAAAAUGGCUGGACUAGAUCCUACCGGACAGUAUUAGAUCGGGCGGUGGAGAGGAGGAGGCGAGGAAACCAGAUAACCAACCCGAUAGAAGGUGGUCGCAGGGCUGUGAAAAUAUUUUUCCACCCCAUCGCUUGACGGAAGAACGAGAGGGGGAAAAAGAAAAAAAAAAAAAAAACAACAACUAGCCAUGGCCGGACUGGAUCCAACCGGACAAUACUGAAAAAGUGGCGUUAAGGGGGAGAGGCGCGCCGCGUCGUCGAAGAAACCGAAAUUAUGACGUUCGAUCGGCGAGUCGAAGGUGAUGAGGAGAAUGAUUCGCAGACGUGCACCAGGAUGACGAACGUUCGCGGUAGAGAAGAGACGUCGUCGUCGAAUCUCAGAAGAUGGGGAUGGAGCAUCAACAUCCGCAAGGGAAGACAUCCGGAGACUACUUCUGGUCACUGACGAGUCGUAUCGUCGACUCGCUGCACUGCCAAUAAUUAAGAUAGAACCCGAUCGAAACACCUAUUAUUCGUCCGUAUGCAACGAAACCGGAAGCCGGAACGAGCCACGUAUCGUGACAAAUCGAUAGAAAUAUUUAUCGUACCGAAGGCAUUCGUGAUAAUGAUAUCGAUUUUUCAAACUAGAGAAUGAAUUGAAAAAAAAAAAAAAAAAAAAAAA
rnacentral:lncRNA from 1 species